rnacentral:lncRNA from 1 species
AGUUUUACGAUUAGAGGCAUCUCCAUAGAACAUUUGAGGUUAAAGGAGUUCCAUUUUCUUUACUGCCUACGCGUAAGUUGCAAGGUUAAUCUCGAGCCCUGCUAACGACAUUCGAGGGUAACAAAGUUUUGCACCUCGGUUUAAAACUUGCAAGGCUAUUAGGGCUUCGCGCUUCUUUAUACUUGAUGUAAAAACUUGCGAGGUCAAAGGGUUUUUAUUCCACAAACGGCGCUUGAGGGCAUUUGUUCUUUUGGCGAUCCCCAAC